GCCCGGGUGGCGGAAUUGGCAGACGCGGGGGGCUUAAACCCCCCUUCCCGAAAGGGAGUGUGGGUUCGAACCCCACCUCGGGCACCA
rnacentral:tRNA from 1 species